GACGAACGCUGGCGGCGCGCUUAACACAUGCAAGUCGAGCGAAGCGGCGGACGGGUGAGUAACACGUGAGUAACCUGCCUUAGACCUUGGGAUAGCCUCGGGAAACCAGGAUUAAUACCAAAUGGUCUAAGAUGGACUCGCGUCCCAUUAGCUGGUUGGUGAGGUAACGGCCAACCAAGGCGACGAUGGGUAGCCGGACUGAGAGGGUGAACGGCCACAUUUGAACUAGGAAACGGUCCAAACUAUACGGGAGGGAGCAGUGGGGAAUAUUGCACAAUGGAGGGAACUCUGAUGCAGCGACGCCGCGUGAACGAAGAAGGCGGUCGAGUAGUAAAGUUCUUUUAUAUGGGAAGCGGUACCAUAAGAAAAAGCCCCGGCUAACUACGUGCCAGCCGCCGCGGUAAUUC
rnacentral:rRNA from 1 species